UGCACUCACACUUGGGCAACCAAUAUACAACUCUCCUUUAAUAAUUUGCUUGUCACUCCACGGGCCUGGGGAAAGUCUGAGACUGGGCCCUCCACACACCCCUCAUCUGGCCCUCUCUGAGUGGGGAGGUGAGUUCCCAGAGAGCAGGUCUCCAUGUGUGUGGCAGACUGGGCAGAGCUCUAACCCUCAUACGCACAGACUACAAUAAUGAA
rnacentral:RNase_P_RNA from 2 species